rnacentral:tRNA from 2 species
GCCGAAGUGGCGGAACUGGUAUACGCGCAUGGCUUAGGACCAUGUGGAGAAAUCCAUGAGAGUUCGAGUCUCUCCUUCGGCACGA